rnacentral:misc_RNA from 1 species
AUUUAAAAUUAAAAUUUAAUUAUUUUUAUUGUGCUAAUCGAUCAGUUUAUGAAUCGGAGGUGGAUCAUGAUUUCUUUUACACCCGGCUGCGGUCUUCACCUUAUGGAGUGGCGGGUGGCUGGCAGCCAACUCAAACUCAGACUCUGACCUAAUUUGCCACUGGGCUAGCCAAUGGACCUACUAAUCCACGUAUCCAUCACCAAUUUAUUAUAUCUUUAAGCAUCAAAUUUCCAAUUGGGAGAACCAGAGAAGAAGAAAACUCUCCACGCGGGCGUUACCAUUGCGUUCCUUUGGCUUUGCUUUUCCUUCCAAUUUCCUUCAAUAGAAUAACAAUCUUGAAUCUUUCCGAGUACCCACAAUUUCAAAACGAUAACUAUUUUUGUUCCUUAAUUUGUUUCUUUUUCAUUCUUGUGAUUGAUGAGAAAAGUUGCAGAGGAA